AAACCAUUUUUAAAAUCACCGACGCUAUUUGUAGUUCCUGCAAAUAGUGCUUCAUGGAGACUAUUCGCAGUAACUGCAAAUA